AAAUCAACUUUAUUGACGGCGUAAAGUGUGGUAACAUGCUAUCCAAGUAACUAAGAUUAAAAAGCAACUGAGUUGUCACAAGCCAAAGAUGCGAACAAGGCCUCUAUUCAAAGAAGAUCUUAGACUAACGAUUAAUUGAAGCCACGAAAGCCAGGGCCCAAACUGGGAUUAGAUACCCCACUAUGCCUGGCCCUAAAUCUUGAUGCUCGAUCUAACCGGAGCGUCCGCCUGAGAACUACGAGCACAAACGCUUAAAACUCUAAGGACUUGGCGGUGCUCCAAACCCACCUAGAGGAGCCUGUUCUGUAAUCGAUGAUCCACGAUAUACCUGACCAUCCCUUGCUCAGUACAGCCUAUAUACCGCCGUCUCCAGCCCACCCUCCAUGAGGGCCCAACAGU
rnacentral:rRNA from 1 species